rnacentral:lncRNA from 1 species
CUUGAGUAAACCGACUGGUUGGAGCUGGAGACUCAAUGGACUUUGAAUCCAGUAUCAGAUUCGAUGAGGAGAGUGACAAUCGCCUGAGAGCUGGAGACUGGGAAAGAAAGCGAGAUGAAAUGCUGAGGUUUUCAGUUCUUUCCAGACUCCUACAUGAACCACCUUUUCCAUCAGUGCUGCCCAGGGUCCCAAAAUGCUGCUUGAGGAACUUCUCCUGAUCAGGUGCCUGAGGAAUUUCUCCCACUGGCACGCUGGUACCCACAUCCUCCUCUCCUUCCUCUCCCUCCAGAUCUGAG